rnacentral:lncRNA from 1 species
UAUUUUAUUUUAACGAAGGCUAUUAGUAAUCAACCAAUUUCCGAUAAUUUUUCCGUCUCUCUGGAUCUAUUCCAUCGCUUCUCUCUCACACACUCUGCAUCCUUUGCAACUACAAGGGACUUUUUUCACAAGUCCCAAAUCAUCAUCUCAAAAUCUUGCCAAGAAUGGAGGAAGGCGAAGAGAAUCUUAUUUUCUCAUAUGAUGGUUUCUUUGAUUCACUUAUAAGAAUAUGAUAAUAUGUUUGUGUUUCAUUCCCUUUCCCCACCUCCUUAAGUAUGUUGCUCAUCUAGAUAAUACUAUGAUGAAUGUGUUUGAAAGAUCUGCUUAUAUAUAUAUUAUGUUACCAUUGUAUUUGGAAGGACAGGGACAGGAACAUAUAUGGUGAGUGUUUUGAAUUUGUUGAGCUGAAAUAUGUUGUUGAUACUCAUAGAUUUAAUUUGAUGAAUAAGCUAUUAUUGGACAAAUGAAUUAUUAAGCUAUCUUGGAGUAACACAACAUCCUUAUUUCUUAGAGCAUCCACACUUGCGAGCUAGCAUCUCUGGCUCUCAGGUGGGCCCCUCUGUCCGAGCCACCGAGCUCUGCAGCGCGUGAGCCCCAACUCACAUCGUGGCUCGCCCCAUGCCCCCCGCGGUGUUUGCAUGCGCCUCUCUCUCUCCUCUCUCGCAUCCAGGUGCACGCCCCACACCCCAGCAGUAGUGUGCCCCACCGUGAAUACGUACUCUUAGUGGCUUCGAGUCUCUCUCUCUUAUAUAUAAUUGCACGUGCAAGAGCAAGAGCUUCUCUCUUUAUUUUUCCCCUAAAUUACAUGGGAAUUAAUAUUGGCACUUCUGUAGUUUAAUAUCUAUACAAGUCGAUUUGCUUGUAUAGUUAACUCAUAC